rnacentral:rRNA from 1 species
UAGAACGCUGAUGACUUUAGCUUGCUAAAGUUGGAAGAGUUGCGAACGGGUGAGUAACGCGUAGGUAACCUGCCUACUAGCGGGGGAUAACUAUUGGAAACGAUAGCUAAUACCGCAUAACAGCAUUUAACCCAUGUUAGAUGCUUGAAAGGAGCAAUUGCUUCACUAGUAGAUGGACCUGCGUUGUAUUAGCUAGUUGGUGAGGUAACGGCUCACCAAGGCGACGAUACAUAGCCGACCUGAGAGGGUGAUCGGCCACACUGGGACUGAGACACGGCCCAGACUCCUACGGGAGGCAGCAGUAGGGAAUCUUCGGCAAUGGGGGCAACCCUGACCGAGCAACGCCGCGUGAGUGAAGAAGGUUUUCGGAUCGUAAAGCUCUGUUGUAAGAGAAGAACGUGUGUGAGAGUGGAAAGUUCACACAGUGACGGUAACUUACCAGAAAGGGACGGCUAACUACGUGCCAGCAGCCGCGGUAAUACGUAGGUCCCGAGCGUUGUCCGGAUUUAUUGGGCGUAAAGCGAGCGCAGGCGGUUUAAUAAGUCUGAAGUUAAAGGCAGUGGCUUAACCAUUGUUCGCUUUGGAAACUGUUAGACUUGAGUGCAGAAGGGGAGAGUGGAAUUCCAUGUGUAGCGGUGAAAUGCGUAGAUAUAUGGAGGAACACCGGUGGCGAAAGCGGCUCUCUGGUCUGUAACUGACGCUGAGGCUCGAAAGCGUGGGGAGCAAACAGGAUUAGAUACCCUGGUAGUCCACGCCGUAAACGAUGAGUGCUAGGUGUUAGGCCCUUUCCGGGGCUUAGUGCCGCAGCUAACGCAUUAAGCACUCCGCCUGGGGAGUACGACCGCAAGGUUGAAACUCAAGAAAAUUUGACGGG